UUGCACUCUAUUCUGGUAAAAAUGUCAUCUUUCUCUCUCUGUAAAAUAUUUGGACAAUCAGCAGCAACACAACUAUAAGCUAGAAUGUGAAACAGAGUGAAUAUUAUCAGCAAAUAAAAUCAACUUGUUGACUUGUGGAAAAUUGACCCAUGAGGACUUGAGGAGCAGCCAUCAAAGCUGGAGCCCCAUGUUGAGGUUGUUGCAGGAGAUUGGAAGGAGACUGCUGGUCAGCUGGUACCCUGAUCCUUCAAGGUCUUCCUUGUGAGGAACACAAAAACCUCUUCACCUUGCAAGUCCUGGCAUCCACUGAGUGUCUUGGAACGUAUCCUCCGUGGGUAAGGGGGACUACCGCAUCUCUGUGCCUCUGGCCCAGCACAUCAGACCUGCGUGUAACUCAGCCCAUUGCACCAUUCUCCACUUGGACUAUGGGAGAUGGCUCCUCAAAAUCUGUGAGAACAAGAGAGCUCCUUUUUAGGAAAGCGUGUUUCUAAUCCUG
rnacentral:lncRNA from 1 species